AUACGGAGGAUGCGAGCGUUAUCCGGAUUUAUUGGGUUUAAAGGGAGCGUAGGCGGGAGCUUAAGUCAGCGGUUAAAUGGUGCGGCUCAACCGUGCCCUGCCGUUGAAACUGGGUUUCUUGAGAGUGCAAGAGGCGGAUGGAAUUCAUGGUGUAGCGGUGAAAUGCUUAGAUAUCAUGAAGAACUCCGAUUGCGAAGGCAGUCCGCUGGGGCACGUCUGACGCUGAUGCUCGAAGGUGCGGGAAUCAAACAGGAUUAGAUGCCCUGGUAGUCCUUACGGUAAACGAUGAUUACCCGCUGUCGGCGGCAGACAGUCGGCGGCCAAGCGAAAGCGAUAAGUAAUCCACCUGGGGAGUACGCCGGCAACGGUGAAACUCAAAUGAAUUGACGGGG
rnacentral:rRNA from 1 species